CCUACGGGAGGCAGCAGUGAGGAAUAUUGGUCAAUGGGCGCGAGCCUGAACCAGCCAAGUAGCGUGAAGGAUGACUGCCCUACGGGUUGUAAACUUCUUUUAUAAGGGAAUAAAGUGAGGCACGUGUGCCUUUUUGUAUGUACUUUAUGAAUAAGGAUCGGCUAACUCCGUGCCAGCAGCCGCGGUAAUACGGAGGAUCCGAGUGUUAUCCGGAUUUAUUGGGUUUAAAGGGAGCGUAGAUGGGUUGUUAAGUCAGUUGUGAAAGUUUGCGGCUCAACCGUAAAAUUGCAAUUGAUACUGGCAGCCUUGAGUACAGUUGAGGGAGGCGGAAUUCGUGGUGUAGCGGUGAAAUGCUUAGAGAUCACGAAGAACUCCGAUGGCGAAGGCAGCUUACUAAACUGCCACUGACACUGAUGCGCGAAAGUGUGGGGAUCAAACAGGAUUAGAUACCCGAGUAGUC
rnacentral:rRNA from 1 species